UACGGGGGGGGCAAGCGUUUGUUCGGAAUUAUUGGGCGUAAAGAGCUCGUAGGCGGUUUGUCGCGUCUGCUGUGAAAACCCAGGGCUUAACCCUGGGCCUGCAGUGGGUACGGGCAAACUAGAGUGCGGUAGGGGAGAUCGGAAUUCCUGGUGUAGCGGUGAAAUGCGCAGAUAUCAGGAGGAACACCGGUGGCGAAGGCGGAUCUCUGGGCCGUAACUGACGCUGAGGAGCGAAAGCAUGGGUAGCGAACAGG
rnacentral:rRNA from 1 species